UUAGGCACACUGCAUGAGGUGAAUCCUAUCCAGGCCGCCUCCGAUAACCGGCAAGGACACCGCCAGGAGGUACAUAUGGAGGGGAGAAAGGUACAAGGACUUCGUGACUCUGGGGCUACCUUAACUAUAGUCCGGAGUCAUCUAGUACCAAAACCCAAUCUAACUGGAGACAGUGUUGCUGUACGGGUGGCAGGGGGAGCGAUUUACAAGGUACCUACGGCCAAGGUGCA